CUGCGGCAGCGAACGUAUCACUUAAAGCGAUUCAGCGGAUGACGAUUGACGGAGCGAAGCGACGUCAAAGCGUAUACAAAGUCGAGUCGGUUUAAGGAUACGUUCGUUGGGUAGGGGAGCGUUCUGUAAGCCUGCGAAGGUGGCCUGUGAGGGUUGCUGGAGGUAUCAGAAGUGCGAAUGCUGACAUAAGUAACGAUAAAGCGGGUGAAAAGCCCGCUCGCCGGAAGACCAAGGGUUCCUGUCCAACGUUAAUCGGGGCAGGGUGAGUCGACCCCUAAGGCGAGGCCGAAAGGCGUAGUCGAUGGGAAACGGGUUAAUAUUCCCGUACUUGGUGUUACUGCGAAGGGGGGACGGAGAAGGCUAUGUUGGCCGGGCGACGGUUGUCCCGGUUUAAGCGUGUAGGUGUGUGUUCCAGGUAAAUCCGGUUCACUUUAACACUGAGGCGUGAUGACGAGGCACUACGGUGCUGAAGCAACAAAUGCCCUGCUUCCAGGAAAAGCCUCUAAGCAUCAGGUAACAUCAAAUCGUACCCCAAACCGACACAGGUGGUCAGGUAGAGAAUACCAAGGCGCUUGAGAGAACUCGGGUGAAGGAACUAGGCAAAAUGGUGCCGUAACUUCGGGAGAAGGCACGCUGACAUGUAGGUGAAGUGAUUUACUCAUGGAGCUGAAGUCAGUCGAAGAUACCAGCUGGCUGCAACUGUUUAUUAAAAACACAGCACUGUGCAAACACGAAAGUGGACGUAUACGGUGUGACGCCUGCCCGGUGCCGGAAGGUUAAUUGAUGGGGUCAGCGCAAGCGAAGCUCCUGAUCGAAGCCCCGGUAAACGGCGGCCGUAACUAUAACGGUCCUAAGGUAGCGAAAUUCCUUGUCGGGUAAGUUCCGACCUGCACGAAUGGCGUAAUGAUGGCCAGGCUGUCUCCACCCGAGACUCAGUGAAAUUGAACUCGCUGUGAAGAUGCAGUGUACCCGCGGCAAGACGGAAAGACCCCGUGAACCUUUACUAUAGCUUGACACUGAACAUUGAGCCUUGAUGUGUAGGAUAGGUGGGAGGCUUUGAAGUGUGGACGCCAGUCUGCAUGGAGCCGACCUUGAAAUACCACCCUUUAAUGUUU
rnacentral:rRNA from 1 species